UUGCUUUGGCAGCAGAUGUAUUAAAAUUGGAAAAAUAAAAAGAAGAGUAGCAUAGAUGAUGUGUGAGAAUGACAUAAAAUUCAUGAAGUAGUCCAUAUUUUU